UAUGUAAGGAACCAUAUUUGCAGACGUUCCCAAUAUAUGCAAAAAAGAAAUCCUUAAUUUAAUUAUUAAAAUUUGAAAGGUUGACCGUUCAAGGAUAAACCACUAAAAAAUCUCAACAAUGGAAUCGAAGCGCGGGCUUUACACCGUGUCAACUUGCUUUUCUGUGAAUCCGCAACAGGUUGCAGGUAAAUAUGCGAAGGAGUGGCAGGUGGGGAAGACUGGGAGCGAGCUUUUAAUGAGAGCUGCUGGAUUUUGUCCUACGUC
rnacentral:lncRNA from 1 species